rnacentral:rRNA from 1 species
UACAGAGGGGGCAAGCGUUGUUCGGAAUUACUGGGCGUAAAGGGUUCGUAGGUGGCCAACUAAGUCAGACGUGAAAUCCCUCGGCUCAACCGGGGAACUGCGUCUGAUACUGGUUGGCUUGAGUGCAGGAGAGGAACGCGGAAUUCCAGGUGUAGCGGUGAAAUGCGUAGAUAUCUGGAGGAACACCGGUGGCGAAGGCGGCGUUCUGGACUGCAACUGACACUGAGGAACGAAAGCCAGGGGAGCAAACGGG